rnacentral:rRNA from 1 species
GACGAACGCUGGCGGCGUGCUUAACACAUGCAAGUCGAACGGAAAGGCCCUGCUUUUGUGGGGUGCUCGAGUGGCGAACGGGUGAGUAACACGUGAGUAACCUGCCCUUGACUUUGGGAUAACUCCAGGAAACUGGGGCUAAUACCGGAUAGGAGCUCCUGCUGCGGGGUGGGGGUAGGAAAGUUUCGGCGGUUGGGGAUGGACUCGCGGCUUAUCAGCUUGUUGGUGGGGUAGUGGCUUACCAAGGCGGUGACGGGUAGCCGGCCUGAGAGGGUGAACGGCCACAUUGGGACUGAGAUACGGCCCAGACUCCUACGGGAGGCAGCAGUGGGGAAUAUUGCACAAUGGGCGGAAGCCUGAUGUAGCAACGCCGCGUGCGGGAUGACGGCCUUCGGGUUGUAAACCGCUUUCGCCUGUGACGAAGCGUGUGUGACGGUAAUGGGUGAAGAAGCACCGGCUAACUACGUG